rnacentral:rRNA from 1 species
UGGAUCCAGACUUUGAUUAUGGCUCAGGAUGAACGCUAGCUACAGGCCUAACACAUGCAAGUCGAGGGGCAUCGGGAAGGAAGCUUGCUUUCUUUGCCGGCGACCGGCGCACGGGUGAGUAACGCGUAUCGAACCUUCCUCAUACUCGGGAACAGCCUUGCGAAAGUAAGAUUAAUGCCCGAUGUUUCCGCCGGCCCGCAUGGGCGGGCGGGCAAAGCUUGAUUGCGGUAUGAGAUGGCGAUGCGUCCCAUUAGUUGGUUGGCGGGGUAACGGCCCACCAAGACUUCGAUGGGUAGGGGUUCUGAGAGGAAGGCCCCCCACAUUGGAACUGAGACACGGUCCAAACUCCUACGGGAGGCAGCAGUGAGGAAUAUUGGUCAAUGGGCGGAAGCCUGAACCAGCCAAGUAGCGUGCAGGAUGACGGCCCUUGUGGUUGUAAACUGCUUUUAGUCGGGAAUAAAAUGAGGGACACGUCCCUCAUUGCAUGUACCGUCAGAAAAAGGAUCGGCUAAUUCCGUGCCAGCAGCCGCGGUAAUACGGAAGGUCCGGGCGUUAUCCGGAUUUAUUGGGUUUAAGGGAGCGCAGGCGGAAGAUUAAGUCAGCUGUGAAAUACGGUGGCUCAACCAUCGGGCUGCAGUUGAAACUGGUUUUCUUGAGUUCGCACAGGGAUGCCGGAGUUCAUGGUAUAGUGGUGAAAUGCUCAGAUAUCAUGAAGAACUCCGAUCGCGAAGGCAGGCAUCCGGAGCGCGACUGACGCUGAGGCUCGAAAGUGCGGGUAUCAAACAGGAUUAGAUACCCUGGUAGUCCGCACGGUAAACGAUGGAUACCCGCGGUUUGCGAUAUAUUGUAAGCCGCCAAGCGAAAGCGUUAAGUAUCCCACCUGGGGAGUACGCCGGCAACGGUGCAACUCAAAUGAAUUGACGGA